CCGAAUUGGAGGCAGAGUUGAAGAGUGUGGUUAGGGAGUUGAAGAGUGUGGUUAGGGAGUUGAAGUAUUUACUAGGGUAGUGACUAGUGAGUCUUCAUUGCACUUCCUCCCUUUGUUAGGGUUUAUGGUUGGAUGGGGUCACUGCAAGAUUGUAUGCGCCAUGCCUCAUAUCCACAUGGUUACACCCACCCUUCUUCUCAAACUCACACCACUGUAGAAUCCGCCAAGAACUUCUCUUUCCCUCUCGACCCCUUUCAGUCCAAAGCCAUUACUUGCCUCCAAAAUGCUGAGUUCGUCAUGGUUUUUGUACACACCUUUGCUAGGAAAACCAUGGUGGCAUUGCAUGUUAUUGGCAUGUCCCUCUACAAUGGCCAGCGCGUCAUCUACACUUCCCCUAUCAAGGCACUGAGCAACCAGAAGUACAAAGAAUUCAAGGAUACUAGACACUUAUUCAAAUAGAUAUAAAUAUGAUAAGAGUACAAAACAGUGGCUUUCUACUGAUAGCUUUUUGCACCAUCUUUGCAAGGCCAAACAAUCCAAGGUCAUUCAUCAUUGAAGGUUUAUGUCAGGAAAAAAUGUCAGAAUUAACGGGUUAAGCUAGAUGUUUGGGCCAAGGAAAGAGAAGUUGUUGGUUUAAAGGCAAGCUUAAACACCUUAAUGUCUGAAAUACAACGCUUGAAUAAAUUGUGUGCUGAGAGGAAAGAAGCUAAAGAUUCUCUAAAGAAAAAAUGGAAAAAGAUUGAAGAGUUUGAUGCUCGUAGAUCAGAAUUUAAGACUAUAUGUAUGAAACUCCUUAAAGCAAAUAGGGUAAUGUUACGUUAUUUCAGUAUUUCCUGUAUUAGCAAAAUUCUAAUUGUAAUGAUCAGGAAUCUUGAGAAUGUAGAGAUUGUUGUGGAUGCAUUAUCCAUAUGGUAAUUUAGUUU